rnacentral:rRNA from 1 species
GACGAACGCUGGCGGCGUGCUUAACACAUGCAAGUCGAACGAUGAAGCUGGAGCUUGCUCCGGUGGAUUAGUGGCGAACGGGUGAGUAACACGUGAGCAAUCUGCCCUUGACUCUGGGAUAACUGCGGGGAACUAUAGCUAAUACCGGAUAUGAGAUCUGAAGGCAUCUUCGGGUUUGGAAAGAAUCUCGGUCAAGGAUGAGCUCGCGGCCUAUCAGCUAGUUGGUGAGGUAAUGGCUCACCAAGGCGACGACGGGUAGCCGGCCUGAGAGGGUGACCGGCCACACUGGAACUGAGACACGGUCCAGACUCCUACGGGAGGCAGCAGUGGGGAAUAUUGCACAAUGGGCGAAAGCCUGAUGCAGCAACGCCGCGUGAGGGAUGAAGGCCCUCGGGUUGUAAACCUCUUUUAGCAGGGAAGAAGCGAAAGUGACGGUACCUGCAGAAAAAGCACCGGCUAACUACGUGCCAGCCGCCGCAGUAA